rnacentral:rRNA from 1 species
UGGGGAAUAUUGCACAAUGGGCGCAAGCCUGAUGCAGCCAUGCCGCGUGUGUGAAGAAGGCCUUCGGGUUGUAAAGCACUUUCAGCGAGGAGGAAGGUGGUGGACUUAAUACGUUCAUCAAUUGACGUUACUCGCAGAAGAAGCACCGGCUAACUCCGUGCCAGCAGCCGCGGUAAUACGGAGGGUGCAAGCGUUAAUCGGAAUUACUGGGCGUAAAGCGCACGCAGGCGGUUUGUUAAGUCAGAUGUGAAAUCCCCGGGCUCAACCUGGGAACUGCAUUUGAAACUGGCAAGCUAGAGUCUCGUAGAGGGGGGUAGAAUUCCAGGUGUAGCGGUGAAAUGCGUAGAGAUCUGGAGGAAUACCGGUGGCGAAGGCGGCCCCCCUGGANGAAGACUGACGCUCAGGUGCGAAAGCGUGGGGGAGCAAAACAGGAUUAGAUACCCUGGUAGUCCACGCUGUAAAACGAUGUCGAUUUUGGAGGUUGUGCCCCUGAGGCGNGGUUCCGGACUAACGNGUUAAAUGACCGCC